UGUGGCCAGAUGGGAUUAGCUAGUAGGUGGGGUAACGGCUCACCUAGGCGACGAUCCCUAGCUGGUCUGAGAGGAUGACCAGCCACACUGGAACUGAGACACGGUCCAGACUCCUACGGGAGGCAGCAGUGGGGAAUAUUGCACAAUGGGCGCAAGCCUGAUGCAGCCAUGCCGCGUGUGUGAAGAAGGCCUUCGGGUUGUAAAGCACUUUCAGCGGGGAGGAAGGCGUUAAGGUUAAUAACCUCAUCGAUUGACGUUACCCGCAGAAGAAGCACCGGCUAACUCCGUGCCAGCAGCCGCGGUAAUACGGAGGGUGCAAGCGUUAAUCGGAAUUACUGGGCGUAAAGCGCACGCAGGCGGUCUGUCAAGUCGGAUGUGAAAUCCCCGGGCUCAACCUGGGAACUGCAUUCGAAACUGGCAGGCUAGAGUCUUGUAGAGGGGGGUAGAAUUCCAGGUGUAGCGGU
rnacentral:rRNA from 1 species